CAUCUUUUUGAAAAAAAGUCAAAAAUAGUGUGGAAGAUAAUAGCAUGGUCUAUGUGAAAAGGUAAUGAAAUGAUGAACCAUAAUGAUGAUAAAUAUGAAUUAGCGAGGUUGAACUAGGCAAAUAAUCACAUAAAAAGCUAAAAUGACAAAAUAUAUGUUAAAAGAACAUGAAUGUGUAUAUUGAAUGAAUCGCAAGUGGGAGCUAAAAUGGUAUAUAAUGAGUUAAAAUAACAUGAGUAUUGGUUGAAAGGUGCAAAACUCGAGAAACUGAAAG